rnacentral:rRNA from 1 species
UACGUAGGUGGCAAGCGUUGUCCGGAAUUAUUGGGCGUAAAGCGCGCGCAGGCGGUCCUUUAAGUCUGAUGUGAAAGCCCACGGCUCAACCGUGGAGGGUCAUUGGAAACUGGGGGACUUGAGUGCAGAAGAGGAAAGCGGAAUUCCACGUGUAGCGGUGAAAUGCGUAGAGAUGUGGAGGAACACCAGUGGCGAAGGCGGCUUUCUGGUCUAUAACUGACGCUGAGGCGCGAAAGCGUGGGGAGCAAACAGG